CCUACGGGUGGCUGCAGUGGGGAAUAUUGCACAAUGGGCGAAAGCCUGAUGCAGCAACGCCGCGUGAGCGAUGAAGUCCUUCGGGUCGUAAAGCCCUGUCCUCAAGGAAGAUAAUGACGGUACCUGAGGAGGAAGCCCCGGCUACCUACGUUCCAGCAGCCGCGGUAAUACGUAGGGGGCUAGCGUUAUCCGGAUUUACUGGGCGUAAGGGGUGCGUAGGCGGGUUCUUAAGUCAGAGGUGAAAGGCUACGGCUAAACCGUAGUAAGCCUUUGAAACUGGGGAACUGGAGUGCAGGAGAGGAGAGUGGAAUUCCUAGGGUAGCGGUGAAAUGCGUAGAUAUUAGGAGGAACACCAGUUGCGAAGGCGGCUCUCUGGACUGUAACUGACACUGAGGCACGAAAGCGUGGGGAGCAAACAGGAUUAGAUACCCGAGUAGUC
rnacentral:rRNA from 1 species